UACGUAGGUGGCAAGCGUUGUCCGGAUUUACUGGGCGUAAAGAGCGCGCAGGCGGUUGUGCAAGUCGCGUGUGAAAGCCCCCGGCUCAACUGGGGAGGGUCACGCGAUACUGUUCGACUUGAAGGCAGGAGAGGGAAGUGGAAUUCCCGGUGUAGUGGUGAAAUGCGUAGAUAUCAGGAGGAACACCGGUGGCGAAGGCGGGUCUCUGGGCAGUAACUGACGCUGAGGAGCGAAAGCGUGGGGAGCGAACAGG
rnacentral:rRNA from 1 species